rnacentral:sRNA from 1 species
GCUGGGUGUGGAGGUGCAUACCUGUAAUCCCAGUGUCUCUGGAGGCUGAGGCUGAAGGGUCAUGAAUUUGAAGUCAGCCUCAG